rnacentral:lncRNA from 1 species
GAGUCGGCGACUUGGCGUGAUUUGGGGGAUUUGGAGAUCGAAUCUUGAUCUCAAAUUUCGUAAAUUUUGGGUUUUCUGGGGGGUUUUUGCAAUUUUCCCAAGGGCUAUAAAUAGUGGAGAGGUUUUCCGUAAACCCUCACAACACUUUUGCCACUCUUAAAUCGCCUAAACCCCUACAUUUUUCAAUCGCCGAUUCCCCAGUUUUCAACCUUAGAAUCGUCGAUUGCCCUCAUGUCUACCCCCGAUUCCCCUUUGUCCGAAGAUGAAACGUCAGCUUUCAUAGCUGAAAUGAUAACUGACAACCU